UAAAGACCGCCAGCUUCCUAAUUUGAAUGAAGCAUGUGCUUGCAUGCGACGGGUGAGACUAAUUUGGCCUCCUUUUCAAAACCUAGACCAACCUUGAUGGAAGGAAAUGGUGAUCACCCUCAUAGGACUGCGUUCUGGUAUUCAACAUCUUGUUGAUGUAUAUACCAGGAAGAUAUGCUGUAUUUAUUGACCUGCAUGGUUGGCUCAUGACUAUUAAUUAGGAACAACAGUAACUGUAGUAAAAAA
rnacentral:lncRNA from 1 species